GAUGAAGAACGUAGCGAAAUGCGAUAAGUAAUGCGAAUUGCAGAAUCCAUGAGUCAUCGAAUCUUUGAACGCACAUUGCGCCCCUUGGUUAUUCCGAAGGGCAUGCCUGUUCGAGCGUCAUUAUCACCCCUCAAGCCCUGGCUUGGUGUUGGACUUUAGUUAUAGCUUUGCCUAUCAACUGGUCUCAAAGAUAGUGACGGCGCCCCAGAGGGAACCGGGUACGAGGAGCUUUUUACUAAGCAUGUAUCUGGGACGACUCUGGGCGACGGUCUUGUUAUACUUUUUACCUAAGUGUUGACCUCGGAUCAGGUAGGAAUACCCGCUGAACUUAAGCAUAUCAAUAAGCGGAGGA
rnacentral:misc_RNA from 1 species